rnacentral:tRNA from 1 species
GGUCAGGUAGCCAAGUUGGUAAGGCGUUGGUCUGCAAAACCGAUUAGCGCGGGUUCAAAUCCCGCCCUGACCU